GGGUGCUAUACAUGCAAGUCGAGCGAACGGACGAGAAGCUUGCUUCUCUGAUGUUAGCGGCGGACGGGUGAGUAACACGUGGAUAACCUACCUAUAAGACUGGGAUAACUUCGGGAAACCGGAGCUAAUACCGGAUAAUAUUUUGAACCGCAUGGUUCAAAAGUGAAAGACGGUCUUGCUGUCACUUAUAGAUGGAUCCGCGCUGCAUUAGCUAGUUGGUAAGGUAACGGCUUACCAAGGCAACGAUGCAUAGCCGACCUGAGAGGGUGAUCGGCCACACUGGAACUGAGACACGGUCCAGACUCCUACGGGAGGCAGCAGUAGGGAAUCUUCCGCAAUGGGCGAAAGCCUGACGGAGCAACGCCGCGUGAGUGAUGAAGGUCUUCGGAUCGUAAAACUCUGUUAUUAGGGAAGAACAUAUGUGUAAGUAACUGUGCACAUCUUGACGGUACCUAAUCAGAAAGCCACGGCUAACUACGUGCCAGCAGCCGCGGUAAUACGUAGGUGGCAAGCGUUAUCCGGAAUUAUUGGGCGUAAAGCGCGCGUAGGCGGUUUUUUAAGUCUGAUGUGAAAGCCCACGGCUCAACCGUGGAGGGUCAUUGGAAACUGGAAAACUUGAGUGCAGAAGAGGAAAGUGGAAUUCCAUGUGUAGCGGUGAAAUGCGCAGAGAUAUGGAGGAACACCAGUGGCGAAGGCGACUUUCUGGUCUGUAACUGACGCUGAUGUGCGAAAGCGUGGGGAUCAAACAGGAUUAGAUACCCUGGUAGUCCACGCCGUAAACGAUGAGUGCUAAGUGUUAGGGGGUUUCCGCCCCUUAGUGCUGCAGCUAACGCAUUAAGCACUCCGCCUGGGGAGUACGACCGCAAGGUUGAAACUCAAAGGAAUUGACGGGGACCCGCACAAGCGGUGGAGCAUGUGGUUUAAUUCGAAGCAACGCGAAGAACCUUACCAAAUCUUGACAUCCUUUGACAACUCUAGAGAUAGAGCCUUCCCCUUCGGGGGACAAAGUGACAGGUGGUGCAUGGUUGUCGUCAGCUCGUGUCGUGAGAUGUUGGGUUAAGUCCCGCAACGAGCGCAACCCUUAAGCUUAGUUGCCAUCAUUAAGUUGGGCACUCUAAGUUGACUGCCGGUGACAAACCGGAGGAAGGUGGGGAUGACGUCAAAUCAUCAUGCCCCUUAUGAUUUGGGCUACACACGUGCUACAAUGGACAAUACAAAGGGCAGCGAAACCGCGAGGUCAAGCAAAUCCCAUAAAGUUGUUCUCAGUUCGGAUUGUAGUCUGCAACUCGACUACAUGAAGCUGGAAUCGCUAGUAAUCGUAGAUCAGCA
rnacentral:rRNA from 1 species